GCCUGGCUGGCUCAGUCAGAAGAGCGUGCGACUCUCGGUCUCAGGGUCGUGGGUUCGAGCCCCACACUGGGCA